UAGAACCCCCACUCUCUCUAAUACUCUCUCUACUCUACUCUUUUGUAAAAAUAUUCUGAGAGUUAAUAAAAGCUCAUUGCUUCUGAGCACGAUCCAUCCGCCUUAAGGUUAUUUUAAUUUUUUGUAUUUUAAUUUUAAUUUUUACUUUUUACUAUUGCUAGCCGAUGAUGGGCUAAAUUUCUAGUGUUGAACUAUAGCAAAAUAUGUUACAUGUAUGAAAUGACAUAUUGUUAUUAAAAUACAAAUUGUAAACUUCCAUUGUUGGUCUAUGUGUUAAGAUGCUACAGUUAUGAGUUUAAUCUUGGCAUUUAUGUCAGAAGUCCCUGUAAAGGCCAAAUUAACCAGAUGGGGCGUGGAAGGACCAUGAUGGGGACUUGGUUUAAUAUUAGACUCAUGACUAAGGUUUAAUAACAUGUAGUAAAGGUACCAAGUACAAUAAUGAAGCAAUCCAUUUCUCUUUUUAACAUUUAUAAUAAUUAAGGACAAUUUAGUAAACUUAUCAAUUACGAUACUGUAUCAUAUCGUUAAAUCAAACAACAAAACUAUUAUUAAAAAGUAAUAAAUAAUACAAUCCAUUUAAAUAUUAUACUAUACUAUACUAUACAAUACAAUAUCAUAUCAUAUCAUAUCAUAUCAUAUAAUACCAUAUAAAACCAUGUCGCCAUUCAAACAAAGUGUAAAAGUUAAAUAUCCAUUCAUUUCGAGAACAACGGUGCAAUUAAAUGGUUCAUACACCCUAUAUUCGGCUGGAGUCGAUCACGACCUGCCCCAUUGAUACAGUAUACAACACCAUGUGGACUGACUGAGAUUAGGGGCACAAAACUGCGAACACAUUCAUUAAUUUUUUUUCAACAAACACAUCCAUUAAUUGGAGUGAAGAAAACGGACAAGAAGCAGAGUUAGUUAUCAGAAGAAAAAUCAGUAUUUCUUCGCGACUAGGAAUCGAAGGAGUGGUUAAAGUGAAAUUCUGGGAUUGGUAUCUGAAAAUUGUUGUUAUUUCCGCCAUCAUUGGUGGCUCCAUGGAGUUCUUCAUGAUUAAGACUGGCUUUUAUGAUAAGGUAACUGUUCUAGAAGCGGAAAAAAGAGCCUAUGAAAAUUCUCCUCAAGCCAAGGCUAUCAGAGACGCUCUUAAUCCAUGGAGACAUCAGGAUGCAGAAGCAAGAAAGAAUGCUUAGCUCUGACACUUCUGUAACCGAACUAGAAGGCAACUCAGGGAUUCGCUUUGAAGGAAAACAUCCCUGGCGCAGUGCUUCUUUGAUCUUGCUCCUAUUCAUAUUUCUCAUGGGUGUCGCUAGUAGCGUGUCACAGCUGAUUGUUUCACAAGCUUGGUGAUCACUUCAUUUAACAUGUGAUGGCGAAAGUCCUAUUAAGGCAAUCGAGCACAUAUCAAAAUGUAGACCUUGUGGAACCAAACUUGUUUAUUUUUCUUCUCUCUAGACGUUUAGUACUUCGCUUUCGUGGAUCUGCAUGUUUAUGAGAAGCAAUCAGUUGCACCGCUGGGAAGUGGACUAGGUAGCCAUUUGACUAUAUGUAUUUAUUCCACUAAUGAUUAUGUUUUUUUC